GCUGCAACUGGCGGAACCGCGUGCGCUGCCCGGCUGCCAGCUGGCCGAUCAGAUAGCGGACGAGCGGAAGGUUCUGCGCCAUUGCCGCGGUG
rnacentral:tRNA from 1 species